CCGAGAUUCAACAUGGAACGAGUGGCGGACGGGUGAGUAACACGUGGGUAACCUGCCCUUAAGUGGGGGAUAACAUUUGGAAACAGAUGCUAAUACCGCAUAGAUCCAAGAACCGCAUGGUUCUUGGCUGAAAGAUGGCGUAAGCUAUCGCUUUUGGAUGGACCCGCGGCGUAUUAGCUAGUUGGUGAGGUAAUGGCUCACCAAGGCGAUGAUACGUAGCCGAACUGAGAGGUUGAUCGGCCACAUUGGGACUGAGACACGGCCCAAACUCCUACGGGAGGCAGCAGUAGGGAAUCUUCCACAAUGGACGCAAGUCUGAUGGAGCAACGCCGCGUGAGUGAAGAAGGCUUUCGGGUCGUAAAACUCUGUUGUUGGAGAAGAAUGGUCGGCAGAGUAACUGUUGCCGGCGUGACGGUAUCCAACCAGAAAGCCACGGCUAACUACGUGCCAGCAGCCGCGGUAAUACGUAGGUGGCAAGCGUUAUCCGGAUUUAUUGGGCGUAAAGCGAGCGCAGGCGG
rnacentral:rRNA from 1 species